UACAGGGGGGGCAAGCGUUGUUCGGAAUUACUGGGCGUAAAGGGUCAGUAGGCGGCCAACUAAGUCCGACGUGAAAUCCCAAGGCUUAACUUUGGAACUGCGUCGGAUACUGGAUGGCUUGAAUUCGGGAGAGGGAUGCAGAAUUCCAGGUGUAGCGGUGAAAUGCGUAGAUAUCUGGAGGAAUACCGGUGGCGAAGGCGGCAUCCUGGACCGACAUUGACGCUGAACGACGAAAGCUAGGGGAGCAAACGGG
rnacentral:rRNA from 1 species